CACGCUUGUAUUCGCCCCUGUACAAGCACUUAGGUGGAAGAUAAUACAAACUUCCCUCCCCCGCUGGACGUAGGGCCUUCUCUUGCCCGAACCAGGAUAAAUCUCUGUGUCUUCUUGCGUCACCAUCUGGGAAAGGGAGCACGCAUAUAAAUUUACUCGUUGGUGUGACCCCUCGUGGGGGAAAACACCGACAAAUAGAUAUGUAAA
rnacentral:lncRNA from 1 species